GAGGUAGAGAGGCGGGGCCGCGCGAUAAAAGAGGGAGGGGCGAAACCUGAGGCGGAGUUGAAGGGGCGGGGCUCUGCUGGUCACUUGAAAUAGUUGGUGGUCUGUCAAGCGGCUUCGCGCCUCUUCUUUAAAGCAGCUCAUCGUGAAGAACUAAAGCAGGGGCUCAGGACUCAGAAACAGCUCUCUGGUGGGCUGUAUGGUACUUCAGACAGCAAAAGAUCCAGAAGUUCAUGAUCAGGCCAGAGAUGUUGUGGUGGCGAUGGAGGGCAGCACAAGGGAGAAUUAACUGUAGAAAAGAACUUCGAUGCCAGCAGAUUAUAUUGGCUACCAGAUGGUAAUUCGGGAGGCCAGCUGACUUAGGGUGGCCUUGGGAAGACCUUAAUUGCUGUUCUGUAAUCCUCU